CAGCAGCCGCGGUAAUACGUAGGGGGCAAGCGUUAUCCGGAUUUACUGGGUGUAAAGGGAGCGUAGACGGCGACGCAAGUCUGAAGUGAAAUACCCGGGCUCAACCUGGGAACUGCUUUGGAAACUGUGUUGCUAGAGUGCUGGAGAGGUAAGCGGAAUUCCUAGUGUAGCGGUGAAAUGCGUAGAUAUUAGGAGGAACACCAGUGGCGAAGGCGGCUUACUGGACUGUAACUGACGUUGAGGCUCGAAAGUGUGGGUAUCAAACAGGAUUAGAUACCCUGGUAGUCCACACAGUAAACGAUGAAUACUCGCUGUUUGCGAUAUACAGUAAGCGGCCAAGCGAAAGCGUUAAGUAUUCCACCUGGGGAGU
rnacentral:rRNA from 1 species